rnacentral:rRNA from 1 species
ACAAGGCGAGGAGCAUGUGGUUAAUUCGAUGAUACGCGAGGAACUUACCUGGGCUCGAACGUAAGAUGACUGUAGGUGAAAGCUUACAUCUCUUCGGAGCAUUUUACGAGGUGCUGCAUGGUUGUCGUCAGCUCGUGCCGUGAGGUGUCGGGUUAAGUCCCAUAACGAGCGCAACCCCUACCUUUAGUUGCCAUCAGGUUAAGCUGGGGACUCUAAAGGAACUGCCUACGCAAGUAGUGAGGAAGGCGGGGAUGACGUCAAAUCAGCACGGCCCUUACGUCCAGGGCUACACACGUGCUACAAUGGCCGAUACAGAGGGCAGCUACCUGGUGACAGGAUGCAAAUCUCCAAAGUCGGUCUCAGUUCGGAUCGGAGUCUGCAACCCGACUCCGUGAAGUUGGAUUCGCUAGUAAUCGCGCAUCAGCCAUGGCGCGGUGAAUACGUUCCCGGGCCUU